rnacentral:rRNA from 1 species
AGCAGUAGCCACGGUAAUACGUAGGGUGCAAGCGUUAAUCGGAAUUACUGGGCGUAAAGCGUGCGCAGGCGGUUUGUUAAGACAGAUGUGAAAUCCCCGGGCUCAACCUGGGAACUGCAUUUGUGACUGGCAAGCUAGAGUAUGGCAGAGGGGGGUGGAAUUCCGCGUGUAGCAGUGAAAUGCGUAGAUAUUCGCAAGAACACCAGUGGCGAAGGCGGCUCACUGGCCCGAUACUGACGCUGAGGUGCGAAAGCGUGGGGAGCAAACAGGAUUAGAUACCCCGGUAGUCCCUGUCUCUUAUAC